AUUGAACGCUGGCGGCAUGCCUUACACAUGCAAGUCGAACGGCAGCACGGGAGCAAUCCUGGUGGCGAGUGGCGAACGGGUGAGUAAUAUAUCGGAACGUACCUUUCAGUGGGGGAUAACGUAGCGAAAGUUACGCUAAUACCGCAUAUUCUGUGAGCAGGAAAGCAGGGGAUCGCAAGACCUUGCGCUGAUUGAGCGGCCGAUAUCAGAUUAGCUAGUUGGUGAGGUAAAGGCUCACCAAGGCGACGAUCUGUAGCGGGUCUGAGAGGAUGAUCCGCCACACUGGAACUGAGACACGGUCCAGACUCCUACGGGAGGCAGCAGUGGGGAAUUUUGGACAAUGGGCGCAAGCCUGAUCCAGCCAUGCCGCGUGAGUGAAGAAGGCCUCGGUU
rnacentral:rRNA from 1 species